UCGCUUUGACGCUGGAAUCUGGCGACCUCCGCGAACAUACCACGGCCUAAGCUCUCUAUAAAAUCGUACUUUUCGGUCUCUGAGGAUAACAUGUUGAAAGCGUUGUCCUGCCGAAAAGAACGUUACUUCGUACAAGGCUUGCAGAGUGCCAUUCCAGCAUGCUGUCUCCGGGUCUUUCCAUCAAGCCUUUCCACUCCAGCGACAGCCACUGCAGUACUGGACCUGCUUGGGGAGUGACCUAAUACUUCUGUACUCUGUAUCACAUAUAUUUUGGUAAGUACUCAUCAAACCUUGAAAUAGAAAUGGGAAAUCUCUGCUGUCCUUUGCAUUUUCAGUGCACUCACUGUCAUUCAUUUCUUAUUUUGUUAAUUUAAUAACAUUUCUUUUGAAAGUGAGAUUGCACAACUCACCAGAUAAGAGGUUUGUUUCCUGGAAGCCCUGGAGGAAUUUUUUGUUAAUUAAUAAA